rnacentral:rRNA from 1 species
GUGCCAGCCGCCGCGGUAAUACCGGCAGCCCGAGUGAUGGCCGAUCUUAUUGGGCCUAAAGCGUCCGUAGCUGGCUGCGCAAGUCCGUCGGGAAAUCCACUCGCCCAACGAGUGGGCGUCCGACGGAAACUGCACAGCUUGGGACCGAAAGGCUCAGAGAGUACGUCCGGGGUAGGAGUGAAAUCCCGUAAUCCUGGACGGACCGCCGAUGGCGAAAGCACGUCGCGAGAACGGAUCCGACAGUGAGGGACGAAAGCCAGGGUCUCGAACCGGAUUAGAAACCCUGGUAGUCC